UACGUAGGGGGCUAGCGUUGUCCGGAUUUAUUGGGCGUAAAGGGCGCGUAGGCGGUCAGCACAAGUCAGUUGUGAAAUCUCCGGGCCUAACUCGGAAAGGUCAACUGAUACUGUGCGACUAGAGUGCAGAAGGGGCAACUGGAAUUCUCGGUGUAGCGGUGAAAUGCGUAGAUAUCGAGAGGAACACCUGCGGCGAAGGCGGGUUGCUGGGCUGACACUGACGCUGAUGCGCGAAAGCCAGGGGAGCGAACGGG
rnacentral:rRNA from 1 species